rnacentral:rRNA from 1 species
GUGCCAGCCGCCGCGGUAAUACGUAGGGCGCAAGCGUUGUCCGGAAUUAUUGGGCGUAAAGAGCUCGUAGGCGGUCUGUCGCGUCGGUUGUGAAAGCCCACAGCUUAACUGUGGGUCUGCAUCCGAUACGGGCAGACUAGAGGCAGGUAGGGGAGCAUGGAAUUCCCGGUGUAGCGGUGAAAUGCGCAGAUAUCGGGAGGAACACCGGUGGCGAAGGCGGUGCUCUGGGCCUGUACUGACGCUGAGGAGCGAAAGCGUGGGGAGCGAACAGGAUUAGAUACCCCGGUAGUCC